CAUGUUUCAACUUUGACAAAUACAGUGAUCCUAAAACAAAACAAAUAGGAAACUGAAUUUAAAUAUUCUGGUUUUUCCCCUGGUGCUUUUAUGAUCCUACAAUAAGAAGCUUUACAAAUAUCUAAAUUAUGUCUCUGUCUUUUUACAGUAAAAUAUAUAAAUUCACUUAGUUUCUAAUAGUUGUUUUCGAACAACAUUUAAAUUACUAAUUAAAUCGCUCACUUGAUUAAAAAUGUGACUAUCUUCAUUAGACAUUAGCCAAAUAAAU
rnacentral:lncRNA from 1 species